ensembl:lncRNA
AAGACAUUGUAUCCUUGCAUCUAGCUGAAUACCUGCAAAAAAUGGCUUCCUUCAAGUUAUCAGUGAUUGCCUUAUUGGCCAUUGGGCUUUACCUGGACACGGUCUGUGCUGCUUCUAUAACCUUGGAAGAAGAAGCUGAGAUAAUAGUGAACAGUACAAUAACUGACCUUACAGAAUCAACUUCUGCGAUUCUAAGCAGUGACGCUGCGGUCGAUUUGGAACAAUUGAUUGAGGAAAUUAACAACACUGCAGCGAUGAAAGAGCUUGAUGCACAAAUUGUUGAACUUCUAAACAGUGACGCUGUGGUUGAAUUGGAACAAAAGGAUGCGGAAUUUCUAAACAGUUCAGUGGUGACUGACGUUUAUGAUGCAGUUGCCAAACUUGUAAACAGGUACCCAUCCUCUCUCUCCUUCAUGCCUCUAGCUCUCUAUUCCAUUUGCGAUCUCUCCUUGACUCUAGCCUUUCUCAUGACCUGCCUAGAAGGUGUGGGUUACUGGCCUUAAUUAACAGAGGUCAGAAGACCUCAACGCAAUGGGGCCGUCGCACCUUGUUCAGUCAAUUCCAGAUGUUCAUCGAUUUAUUUACUUUCUAACCAAAGUGGUUUGUUUUAUACUUGACAUUUAUUCCAUCAAUUUACGACAUUCUGUGAGAAAAAUUUCAAAUUAAGGUUAAAUAUGAAAUGAACCUUACCGUGGCCAGUUCUGCUAUUGCUUGCAGACUACUGUGGGUGCUACAAAUGCAUAACAUUGCAUGCAAAUAGAUUGAGAUGCUUCUGCUUAUGUACUCAAUUGGUAUCCUUCUCUUUCUCCUUCACAGUACAGCUAUGGCUGAACUAGGAGAAGCACUCCAGGCAGUUCUGGAAAGGUAUGCAUCCCCUCUCUCCUGAAUCCCUCUAUUAUCUCUCAAUGACUCUAGCCUUAUAGUCAGUACUAAUAGUAGUUGUUGGUAUUGAUCAUUAAUGGUUGUAUUAAUCACUUUGUUAAUACGUUUUCUCCAUUAAUUCAGUAGUUACAAAUCAAUGGUAUGUCUUUUCUUUUACAGUCCAGAUAUGGAAAAGAUUUCUACAGCAUUGGAGAAUAUUCUGGAAUCGUAAGUAACCAUUCGCUCUCUUCAAUGAUCGAAUCUAAUCUAAUUAUCUAAUUUAGUACAAACAUUAUCAAUGAAUCAGUAUGUAUGGAAUUUGUGGUAUCAAAUCAAUGGCGUCGCUUUUUUUCCUUUACAGGGACGAUUUUGCUUCUCUACGUGUUGCAUUGAAAGUGGCGUAAGAUUCCCCUCUGCUCAAUCCUUCUACCUCCGUCAUAUGCAUCUCUAUAUUAUCUCUCAUUUAGUACAUUAUAUUAUCUGGUCAACUUAAACAAAAUACAAUUCUAUAGAAAGGCCAUUGCCGUAAAACUGUACUAUAGUACAAUCCACUGUUGUACAUGUCUUAAUUAGUAUACUUAAAGGGCUAAAACACAAUGCCAUUUUGGCACCUUAGCGCAGAACUACUGUAUGACUUUAAUGGUAGCUUACAUUAAGAGGUAAAAAUUUAAUCUUACGAAGCGUCAACUUUCUCUUUCGUUUUUUCAGUUCUGACCAGGAGGAGAGUGCAUUUGUCACCGAAGAAGACGCUGAAUUAUCUCCUUCUCUUAAGGGAUUUGCACAGUGCUUGGAAUCUUCUGCUCAGUAGUGGCUUUUGGUCCACUUCCUACAGAGGUGCACUCUCCUUGCUACCUCGGAACGCAUCUUUCAAGCAUCUCCACGGUGAACAGGAACCAAAUGCUGUGAUGUUCUUUUUCUCUUCUCAAGAUAACUGAAAAGUGAUCAACCUUAAAAUAAAAACUUUCUUGCAUUCAA